UACCGAGUUUACAACUCCCAAACCCAAUGUGAACGUUACCAAACUGUUGCCUCGGCGGGAUCUCUGCCCCGGGUGCGUCGCAGCCCCGGACCAAGGCGCCCGCCGGAGGACCAACCAAAACUCUUAUUGUAUACCCCCUCGCGGGUUUUUUUAUAAUCUGAGCCUUCUCGGCGCCUCUCGUAGGCGUUUCGAAAAUGAAUCAAAACUUUCAACAACGGAUCUCUUGGUUCUGGCAUCGAUGAAGAACGCAGCGAAAUGCGAUAAGUAAUGUGAAUUGCAGAAUUCAGUGAAUCAUCGAAUCUUUGAACGCACAUUGCGCCCGCCAGUAUUCUGGCGGGCAUGCCUGUCCGAGCGUCAUUUCAACCCUCGAACCCCUCCGGGGGGUCGGCGUUGGGGAUCGGCCCUCCCUUAGCGGGUGGCCGUCUCCGAAAUACAGUGGCGGUCUCGCCGCAGCCUCUCCUGCGCAGUAGUUUGCACACUCGCAUCGGGAGCGCGGCGCGUCCACAGCCGUUAAACACCCAACUUCUGAAAUGUUGACCUCGGAUCAGGUAGGAAUACCCGCUGAACUUAAGCAUAUCAAUAAGCGGAGGAAAAGAAACCAACAGGGAUUGCNNCAGUAACGGCGAGUGAAGCGGCAACAGCUCAAAUUUGAAAUCUGGUCNNUAGGGCNCGAGUUGUAAUUUGUAGAGGAUGCUUUUGGUGAGGUGCCGNCNNAGUUCUCCUGGAACGGGACGCCACAGAGGGUGAGAGCCCCUGGCUGGCAGCCUCUGUAAAGCUCCUUCGACGAGUCGAGUAGUUUGGGAAUGCUGCUCAAAAUGGGAGGUAUAUGUCUUUCUAAAGCUAAAUAUUGGNCCAGAGANCNGAUAGCGNAUAAGUAGAGUGAUCGAAAGAUGAAAAGCAUCUUUGAAAAGAGG
rnacentral:rRNA from 1 species